ACAUGAAUGGUUGUCUAUUAACUUGUUCAAAAACUAUCUGGAGUUGUCAAGGCUCAGAAGGACGCAGGCGAAAAAGUACAGUGUGUUGAUGCUUUUUGGGAGAAGCGACGGGAGAAGUUUUGUGGACACGACAUAGCAGGAGCCAACCGGGAGAAGACUCACGCUCACAGACACACACCCGCAGAGAGACUCCACUGAGAGGGAGAGUGUGGGAGACGCGGCUCGGUGCUUGUUGUUUUUUUCCAGAGAAAAAGUUCCAGAGAGAAAUCGACAGUUCCUGCGGAUGGGCCCAUCAAGACAAACUUUGUUGCCUGUUUCCUAAAAAGGGGGAAGAUUUUUACCACCAAAAUAACCAUCGUCCCCAGUGAUGCAACAGAAGAGAAGAUGGAAUCAAGAGACCAGGACGUUGGAUGAACCGGAUGGCAAGUGGGGACUGGUGAUCGUGACGGUGGAACGUCCAACCAGGAGAAACACGAGAGCUGGAGAAGAUGCUGAUGCUGUGAUUUCACACACAAACACCCACACACACACACACACACACACACACACACAGGCUGUAGUGUGAACCAGUUCCAGGUGAGUCAAACUGAAUCAAAGUGAACUGAUCUGAACCUGAAUGGUUGCAGUGGGACGGGACCCAGGACACUUGACUCUACCUGCUGUUCUCGGCUCUUUCUGUUUUAUUCUCACCGCCGGGCCUCAGGACCACUGGUUCCUCUCAUGUGUGUGUGGGUCUCGUCCAGCUGACACCGGGUCGUCGGGGGAUUGAUCCCCGGCUCGUCCAGGCCACUUGCCAAACUGACCUGGGGCAAGAUAGUGAACCUCAAACAGACUGAGGGUUGUGUGUUAAUGUGUGUGAUAGAAAACACACACUGCAUCUAGUUGUAUUA